GUUUUUAUUUACUUUUUUUGCGUUCGGUCACAUUUGAGAGUGAGGCAGAUGUAUAGCAUUUAGCAAAAAAAAGAUGAUUAUUUGUCCCUCUGAAAUGAAACCAUCAAGUGAUAGACUUUAAACAAAUACAUGUCUGUUAUUGAACAGCCCCAUGCCAUGAUUAGAUAGUGAAGAAACACAACAAUCUCUUUCAUAAUUUCUUUAAACAAUAAAAGCUAAUUUACCAACAUUUCUGAAAAGUGAAAUAUAGCAUUUUAGAAUUAAACUCUUCUUAUGUUUCCCCAUCUGAGAUCAGAGAGGAUGAGAGAUAUAAUGUUUGUCUCUGUUGUGUUGAAGACCAAUCAAGCAGGAGAGACCAGCCUCCCCUGUACCCAGCUGUGUGUCCAUGAAGAGUGACCAGUCUAUGGAUCAACCUUUACUGUUUAGAGAGGGAGACUUUUCUACUGAACAAAGCCCAAUCAAGCAGGAGAGACCAGCCUCCCCUGUACCCAGCUGUGUGUCCAGGAAGCGUAAGCGGUCUAUAGAUCAACCUAUACAGUUUAGAGAGGGAGACUUUUCUACUGAACAAAGAAACCAACAGGAGAGAUCAGAGUCAGAGAUACUCAGUGGUCAGUCUUCCCAAAGUCAUCAAACAGACC